UGAGGAAUAUUGGUCAAUGGGCGCAAGCCUGAACCAGCCAAGUCGCGUGAGGGAAGACGGUCCUAUGGAUUGUAAACCUCUUUUGUCAGGGAGCAACUAGCCACGUGUGGUGAAAUGAGAGUACCUGAAGAAAAAGCAUCGGCUAACUCCGUGCCAGCAGCCGCGGUAAUACGGAGGAUGCGAGCGUUAUCCGGAUUUAUUGGGUUUAAAGGGUGCGUAGGCGGAAGAUUAAGUCAGCGGUAAAAUUGAGAGGCUCAACCUCUUCCGGCCGUUGAAACUGGUUUUCUUGAGUGAGCGAGAAGUAUGCGGAAUGCGUGGUGUAGCGGUGAAAUGCAUAGAUAUCACGCAGAACUCCGAUUGCGAAGGCAGCAUACCGGCGCUCAACUGACGCUGAAGCACGAAAGCGUGGGGAUCGAACAGG
rnacentral:rRNA from 1 species